AUUCUCUUGUGUUUUUUUUAAGUGUUAUAAACAGCUUUUCAUGCCAUUGUGUGAGAUGUGCCUCUCUCAAACCCUGUUAAAAGCUUAGCAUGCUACCCUUCUUAUA